rnacentral:rRNA from 1 species
AUGGCUCUCCACAUCCUGCCAGGAUGGCAAAGGGGUCUCGUGACGAGGCCGGGGAGGCUCAUUCUUGUCAAUCAAGUAAUGAGGGCGCACGCUACACAUCAUCUCAUGAUAGCGGAGGCACCUAAAUGGGCUCUGGAGAGAGUGGAUAAGGGGUGUCGGGCAUUUUUCUGGUCCGGAACCGAGGCGGUGAAUGGAGGAAAAUGUGCCGUCUCCUGGGCUAGAGUGUGCAGGCCUAAACACUUGGGAGGCUUGGGUGUCAUUGACCUGUUUAAGCACGGUAUCACUUUAAGACUCAGAUGA